rnacentral:rRNA from 1 species
UACGAAGGGGGCUAGCGUUGCUCGGAACUCACUGGGCGUAAAGGGCGCGUAGGCGGCUGAUUUAGUCGAGGGUGAAAGCCCGAGGCUCAACUUCGGGUCGGCCAUGGAUACUCCUGGGCUUGAGCACUGUAGAGGCAGGUGGAAUUCCGGGUGUAGCGGUGGAAUGCGUAGAGAUCCGGAAGAACACCGGUGGCGAAGGCGGCCUGCUGGGCAGUAGCUGACGCUGAGGCGCGACAGCGUGGGGAGCAAACAGG